CCUACGGGAGGCUGCAGUGAGGAAUAUUGGUCAAUGGACGAGAGUCUGAACCAGCCAAGUAGCGUGAAGGAUGACUGCCCUAUGGGUUGUAAACUUCUUUUAUAUGGGAAUAAAAUGUUCCACGUGUGGGAUUUUGUAUGUACCAUAUGAAUAAGGAUCGGCUAACUCCGUGCCAGCAGCCGCGGUAAUACGGAGGAUCCGAGCGUUAUCCGGAUUUAUUGGGUUUAAAGGGAGCGUAGGUGGAUUGUUAAGUCAGUUGUGAAAGGUUGCGGCUCAACCGUAAAAUUGCAGUUGAAACUGGCAGUCUUGAGUACAGUAGAGGUGGGCGGAAUUCGUGGUGUAGCGGUGAAAUGCUUAGAUAUCACGAAGAACUCCGAUUGCGAAGGCAGCUCACUGGACUGCAACUGACACUGAGGCUCGAAAGUGUGGGUAUCAAACAGGAUUAGAUACCCCAGUAGUC
rnacentral:rRNA from 1 species